rnacentral:lncRNA from 1 species
GCGUGUAUGUAAAGUAGAGGGUCUGCACUUCUAGGCCUCCAUGAAGGAUUAUUCCUGAUUUUUAGAGAUUUGAUCUCCUAUUCUACUGCUAAUCAGGUAAGGAUUUGAUCCUUAUUCAUGUAGAUUAGUAGAAAAUUUUUUGAUGCAAUCUGGGCUAUCUAAAGAGAAACAAUUUUCUUUUCCUUCACUAACAUUCCUUCCUCGAAUUGCAACCAAGUGCUCAUCGACAAGGCAAUCCUGGG